rnacentral:ribozyme from 14 species
AAAAAAAAAAAAAAAAAAAAAAAAAAAGAGGA